rnacentral:rRNA from 1 species
AUUGAACGCUGGCGGCAGGCCUAACACAUGCAAGUCGAGCGGAUGAAGGGAGCUUGCUCCUGGAUUCAGCGGCGGACGGGUGAGUAAUGCCUAGGAAUCUGCCUGGUAGUGGGGGAUAACGUCCGGAAACGGGCGCUAAUACCGCAUACGUCCUGAGGGAGAAAGUGGGGGAUCUUCGGACCUCACGCUAUCAGAUGAGCCUAGGUCGGAUUAGCUAGUUGGUGGGGUAAAGGCCUACCAAGGCGACGAUCCGUAACUGGUCUGAGAGGAUGAUCAGUCGCACUGGAACUGAGACACGGUCCAGACUCCUACGGGAGGCAGCAGUGGGGAAUAUUGGACAAUGGGCGAAAGCCUGAUCCAGCCAUGCCGCGUGUGUGAAGAAGGUCUUCGGAUUGUAAAGCACUUUAAGUUGGGAGGAAGGGCAGUAAGUUAAUACCUUGCUGCUUUGACGUUACCAACAGAAUAAGCACCGGCUAACUUCGUG